ACGCUCGACACCUACGGGGGCAGCAGUGGGGAAUAUUGCACAAUGGGGGAAACCCUGAUGCAGCGACGCCGCGUGAAGGAAGAAGUAUCUCGGUAUGUAAACUUCUAUCAGCAGGGAAGAAAGUGACGGUACCUGACUAAGAAGCCCCGGNUAACUACGUGCCGGCAGCCGCGGUAAUCUGAGCGGGCUGGCAAGGC
rnacentral:rRNA from 1 species